rnacentral:rRNA from 1 species
GACGAACGCUGGCGGCGUGCUUAACACAUGCAAGUCGAACGGUAAGGCCCUUCGGGGUACACGAGUGGCGAACGGGUGAGUAACACGUGGGUGAUCUGCCCUGCACUUCGGGAUAAGCCUGGGAAACUGGGUCUAAUACCGGAUAGGACCACUGCCUGCAUGGGUGGUGGUGGAAAGCUUUUGCGGUGUGGGAUGGGCCCGCGGCGUAUCGGCUUGUUGGUGGGGUGAUGGCCUACCAAGGCGACGACGGGUAGGCGGCCUGAGAGGGUGACCGGCCACACUGGGACUGAGAUACGGCACAGACUCGUACGGGAGGCAGCAGUGGGGAAUAUUGCACAAUGCGCGCAAGCCUGAUGCAGCGACGCCGCGUGAGGGAUGACGGCCUUCGGGUUGUAAACCUCUUUCAGCACCGACGAAGCGAAAGUGACGGUAGGUGCAGAAGAAGGACCGGCCAACUACGUGCCAGCCGCCGCGGUAA